GACGAACGCUGGCGGCGUGCUUAACACAUGCAAGUCGAACGAAGAGCGAUGGAAGCUUUCUUCUAUCAAUCUUAGUAGCGAACGGGUGAGUAACGCGUAAUCAACCUGCCCUUCAGAGGGGGACAACAGUUGGAAACGACUGCUAAUACCGCAUACGAUCUCAUCUCGGCCUCUAGGUUAGAUGAAAGGUGGCCUCUACAUGUAAGCUAUCACUGAAGGUGGGGAUUGCGUCUGUUUGGCUAGUGGGCGGGGUAACGGCGCACCAAGGCGAUGAUCAGUAGCAGGUCGGAGAGGAUGAACGGCCACACUGGGACUGAGACACGGCACAGACUCCUACGGGAGGCAGCAGUGGGGAAUCGGCCGCAAUGGACGAAAGUCUGACGGAGCAACGCGGCGUGAGCGAUGACGGCCUUCGGGUUGUAAAGCACUGUUAAUCGGGACGAAAGGCCUUCUUGCGAAGAGUGAGAAGGAUUGACGGUACCGGAAUAGAAAGCCACGGCUAACUACGUG
rnacentral:rRNA from 1 species